rnacentral:snoRNA from 1 species
AAUACUAUAGUUUAAGGGAUCAUUUCUCUAAGGUAUAAAUAGAAGUGUAGUUGAAAGUGGUUUGUCUUGCUACCCAUUAGGGAGAAUUCUUUCCUGUGCUUGAAGUAAACAGUUAGUACUGUUUUAAUGCCGUUGUACAUUAUUGAUCAUCAUUCCUUCUCUUUGGGGAAUGGGGGAGAGAACAGAUAUUUACUGGC